GUUAUCAUUUCUCUGGUAGCGGUGUCGUAAUACAUGAUGUCUUGCUUGAGAAUACUCCGGGUACCUAGCUAUGGAAGGAAGAAUAAAAAUUAUAAUAAUAAAAUCCUAAUUCUAAUAGAAUACUAACAAUGCUCUAAUUAGACUAUAAUAAUCUUAAGCAAGCUUAAUCAAAUUCAAAAAAAAUUCAAAGAAAUUUUAAACAAAUAAUAAAAAUUCUUAAAGAAACAUUAGAAAGAACACAAAUAUCAAUCAAAUACAUCUCAAUUCAAUCUUAAUUUAAUUCUAGUUAAAAUCCUAUUAAACUUCAUUCAAACUUUAAGCCAAAACUAAUUGAAUCUUAAAUCUUAAUAAAAUAUUAAAUCCUAAAUUAAACCCUAAACAAACCUUAAACCAAACCCCAACCAAAUCCUCAACCAAAUCCUAAUCAAAUCCUAAACCAAAUCCUAAAUCCUAAAUCAAAUCCUAACCAAAUCCUAAUCCAAACCUUAAACCUUAAAUCAAACCCUAAAAAAUCCUAAAUCCUAAACCAAAUCCUAACUAAAUUCUAAACCCUAAAUCAAAUCCUAACCAAAUCCUAAUCCAAAUCC
rnacentral:lncRNA from 1 species